GGGGUUGUGGCUCAGUGGUAGAGCACUCAACUCACACGUGUGAGGCACUGGGUUCAGUUCUCAGCACCA
rnacentral:tRNA from 1 species